UGGGGAAUAUUGGACAAUGGGGGCAACCCUGAUCCAGCCAUGCCGCGUGAGUGAUGAAGGCCUUAGGGUUGUAAAGCUCUUUCGCCCGCGAAGAUAAUGACGGUAGCGGGAGAAGAAGCCCCGGCUAACUUCGUGCCAGCAGCCGCGGUAAUACGAAGGGGGCUAGCGUUGUUCGGAAUCACUGGGCGUAAAGCGUACGUAGGCGGAUGCUUAAGUCAGGGGUGAAAGCCUGGAGCUCAACUCCAGAACUGCCUUUGAUACUGAGCAUCUUGAGUCCGGGAGAGGUGAGUGGAACUGCUAGUGUAGAGGUGAAAUUCGUAGAUAUUAGCAAGAACACCAGUGGCGAAGGCGGCUCACUGGCCCGGUACUGACGCUGAGGUACGAAAGCGUGGGGAGCAAACAGG
rnacentral:rRNA from 1 species